GUGAAUCAUCAAAUUUUUGAACGCAAAUUGCACUCUCUUCGGAGAGUAUGCCUGUUUGAGGGUCAGCCUAAAUAAAAUCGACGUAGACGCUGUUUCGCGGUGACAUUCGUCGGGAAUUGGGUCAUCUUAAACCUGUGGGCUUUUUAAGUGGCUUAAAAUUUUCUUUACGAUUCCACGAACGUUUCUAAGUUUUUACUUCUUACACACGUUUAAGGUUCCGUUCUUUAUUAGAUUUGGCCGUUGCAUCGUAUCGCGUUCAUAAAUAUUUCGUUAUCUGACCU
rnacentral:misc_RNA from 1 species